UACGUAGGGGGCAAGCGUUGUCCGGAAUCAUUGGGCGUAAAGAGCGUGUAGGCAGCCUGAUAAGUCGGCUGUGAAAGUCCAGGGCUCAACCCUGGAAUGCCGGUGGAUACUGCCGGGCUAGAGUCCGGAAGAGGCGAGUGGAAUUCCUGGUGUAGCGGUGAAAUGCGCAGAUAUCAGGAAGAACACCAAUGGCGAAAGCAGCUCUCUGGGACGGUACUGACGCUGAGACGCGAAAGCGUGGGGAGCGAACAGG
rnacentral:rRNA from 1 species